UGGACCAGUUUGGGGAAGUUGCCGGGGCCCCGCGUCGUCCAGAUGUGCGACCUCAUUGAGCCGCAGCCGACCGAGAAGAUCGGCAAGAUGAAGAAGUUGCGGAGAACUUUGUCCGAGAGUUUCAGCCGCAUUGCUUUGAAGAAAGACGACACCACCUUUGAUGAGAUAUGUGUCACAAAGAUGUCUACACGGAACUGUCAGGGAAUGGACUCAGUGAUCAAACACCUGGACACAAUUCCUGAGGAUAAAAAAGUCAGAGUUCAGAGGACACAGAGCACUUUUGACCCAUUUGAGAAACCAACUAAUCAAGUAAAGAGGGUGCAUUCUGAGAACAAUGCCUGCAUUAACUUUAAGACCUCCUCUGCUGGCAAAGAAUCACCUAAAGUUAGGCGGCACUCCAGCCCCAGCUCGCCAACAAGUCCCAAAUUUGGAAAAGCUGACUCAUAUGAAAAACUGGAAAAACUAGGAGAAGGAUCUUAUGCUACAGUAUACAAAGGGAAAAGCAAGGUAAAUGGGAAGUUGGUAGCCCUAAAGGUGAUCAGGCUACAAGAAGAAGAGGGUACCCCUUUCACCGCUAUCAGGGAAGCUUCUCUGUUAAAAGGACUAAAACACGCGAACAUAGUGCUACUUCAUGACAUCAUCCAUACCAAGGAGACCCUGACACUCGUCUUUGAAUAUGUGCACACUGAUUUAUGUCAGUACAUGGACAAGCACCCUGGGGGGCUCCAUCCAGAUAAUGUGAAGUUGUUUUUAUUUCAGUUGCUGCGAGGGCUGUCUUACAUCCACCAGCGUUAUAUUUUGCACAGAGACCUGAAACCACAGAAUCUUCUGAUCAGUGACACGGGGGAGUUGAAGCUGGCAGAUUUCGGUCUUGCAAGAGCAAAAUCUGUCCCCAGCCACACGUAUUCCAAUGAAGUAGUCACCUUGUGGUACAGACCUCCAGAUGUGCUCCUGGGCUCCACCGAGUAUUCCACCUGCCUUGACAUGUGGGGAGUUGGCUGCAUCUUUGUUGAGAUGAUCCAAGGAGUUGCUGCUUUUCCAGGAAUGAAAGACAUUCAGGAUCAACUUGAACGUAUAUUCCUGGUUCUUGGAACACCAAAUGAGGACACAUGGCCUGGAGUUCAUUCUUUACCACAUUUUAAGCCAGAACGCUUUACCCUGUACAGCUCUAAAAACCUUAGACAAGCAUGGAAUAAGCUCAGCUAUGUAAAUCAUGCAGAAGAUCUGGCCUCUAAGCUCCUACAGUGUUCCCCAAAGAACAGACUAUCAGCACAGGCUGCCUUGAGCCAUGAGUAUUUUAGUGACCUUCCCCCACGGCUAUGGGAGCUGACUGAUAUGUCUUCUAUUUUUACCGUCUCAAAUGUGAGAUUGCAACCAGAAGCUGGCGAGAGCAUGCGGGCCUUUGGGAAAAACAAUAGUUAUGGCAAAAGUCUAUCAAACAGCAAGCACUGACGAGCAUGGCACUCUCAAGAGAGCAGUAGCAAACCGAACUUGAAGAUGAAUGACAUGCAAAGAUCUGUUUUGUUUAUCUUUCUUGGUAUUUUAAGCAGAACAGCUCAGUGUCAGAGCCUUAUAGAAUUAAGUUGUCAUCUUUCUGAGAAGAAAAAAAACACAUUAAUGAAGUGGCCAAUAAUGUGAAGGGAA